ACACGGUGAUUCAGAGUUUGAUCCUGGUCUCAGGAUGAACGCUGGCGGCGUGCCUAACACAUGCAAGUCGAACGAAGCGACUCAAAGUUUUCGGACAGAGAGUUGACUGAGUGGCGGACGGGUGAGUAACGCGUGGGUAACCUGCCUUAUACAGGGGGAUAACAGUUAGAAAUGACUGCUAAUACCGCAUAAGCGCACAGGAUCGCAUGAUCUGGUGUGAAAAGCCGAGACGGUAUAAGAUGGACCCGCGUCUGAUUAGCUAGUUGGUGAGGUAACGGCCCACCAAGGCGACGAUCAGUAGCCGACCUGAGAGGGUGACCGGCCACAUUGGGACUGAGACACGGCCCAA
rnacentral:rRNA from 1 species